rnacentral:tRNA from 1 species
GAGGGUAGAGCUCAGUGGCAGAGCAUGUGCUUAGCAUGCAUGCAGUCCUGGGUUCAAUCCCCAGAGCCUCCA